AAAUCUAUGUGGAGACAUUUGUUUGUCUUAAAACAAAUAUAAAACAUUGUCCAAUGCAUCUGCAAAAAACAUAAUUAGUCAUUAUAACAUGUACAACAUUGCAUUAACAUUAUUUUUAUUUGCAAAAUGAAGCUGUGUAUUUAUUUCUGAUUUCCUGAAAAAUUUGGCUUCAUUAUGUAAAUGAUCUUUUUUUGAAAAGUUUUGGGGAAAAAUACAUGUUAUGAACAAAGUUACUUUGUCUUAAGCUGACCAGACAAUUAUCGUAGUGUGUGCUGAUUGGUGUUUAUAGUAGUUCAAGCUUGACAACAUUAUUGCCGUAUGUAUGCAUAUAUAAUUCUUUUUUUUUUUUUUCAUAUUAGUAUUUGUUGUUUUUCAGACCAGCUGCUAUAGAAGAAAAACUGAAAUCUGAGUGCAGAGACAAGCGAAGAAGAGAGUAAGUGCUGUACAGUGACGACAGACAAGAGGAUAAAGCUUGCUGAGGAGGAUAUAGCCAAAGCUUUUAAAGAUCCUCUGAUAAAGCAGUCUUCAAAUACUACAAGCCCCAGUUGCAGAAAAUGAGUCGAACUCAGAGAAGUGAUCGUCUACUUGAAGAUGAAGAUGUGACAUUCAAACUCUUCUGUUUCUUUGGUUCAGCCAUUUGUAGGCCUAAGUUUGUAAAUAAUGCAUUAUUCACUUCUGCACAUUAUUUUUCUGAAACUUUUUUUUUCUUCUUCAGAAAAUUGCAUUGUGAUGCUUAUUUAGUGAUGUAAAAUUCAUAGUGUACGUUUCAGUAAUACAUGUAUAACUGAAAUGUUCUACAAAAAAAUUAUAAAUAUAGCUCUGCCAUAGCAUUUCACUGAUCUUUUUAAUUUACUU